GAGACUGUGUGACUCUGUCAGUGCUCGCAGGGCUGCCUAAACAGGGUUCCUGCUAGAGUGUGUCAGGUGUAUUCUGUGCACGUGUGACACUGUGGGUCAGGGUUGUUUGUGUCCUUGUGUGUAGAUGAGGGUGUCAAAGUCACACAGACAGCCAACUCGGUGGAGGCAGGACAUGCGCACCACUGUCGCUAUCCUCAACUCUCCCUCUGGGAGGACUCCACCCCGCACUGCGGGGGCGCGUGCGUCGUUCGUGACGUGAGACACGACGGAGUUCGCUGCGUGCGUGGAGCCCGACGCGGUCGUGCGUGCGAGUACAAGCCGGGGGGUGGGGUGUCUGUACGCAUGCUUGAGAGCGCGGGGGCAGCCGCGGGAGCGCGCGGGGCCCAGUGCUGCGGAACCAGAGACUUUGGAGCGCAGGUGAAACUCCGAGGUGGGGGAGAGACUGCCGUUAACCCCUUCCUGCCCGACCUGAAACUCGGGGCCCCAGGGCCGAACGAACGGGGGCUUCCCCAGCUUGCUGGGCGGGGCAGUCCCUGCUGGGUAGACCUUCCUCCAGAGAGCUGAGACACCCCCCCGUUGCCAUGGAAACAGCUUCCUGGAUCACUCGCGCGCUUGCUUCCUCCGGCUCUGCCCUUCCUCCCUACGACCACGUGCUUGCUUCCCGCUCCUGAUCUCUGCACCGCAGGGCUGGGGGUCAGUAGGGCCAGGGUGUGCGUGACUCAAGCCAGCCCUGGGGUCCCCAGACCGCACUCGGCCUCACUCCCCUUGCUCUGCCUGGGUGACUCAUGCCUCGCGGCUUUCCCUGUGUGUGACUCAGGCCCCUGGGGAGGGGACUUUGGGACCCCCCCAAGGCAUCCAGGACUAGGAAUCAAGUUCUGAAGACCUCGAGUGAGGGGUUACCCUUUGGGAGACAGGAGGCCAGGGGCUUUUUUGACUCAGAGCAAGCGGGUACCCCCUUGAAAACUUGGCCUCGCAGGGACUGGGACUCCUACUGCACCCACAGGGGGCUGCGUAGCUGGCUGUGGGUCCCGUGAGCAGCAACUGCGAACAAAGCUCGGCUCAGCUCAAAUCCUGUCUCUGUCCUCACUUGUUUUUCCACCUGAAAAUUAUGUCCAGCUCGUUGA